CCCCGCCUCCUCCCCAUUGAUAGCUGAGAUAGGCUCCAGCACUCCCGCAACCCUUGUGAGGAUAAGCGGCUCAGAAAAUGGAUGGAUGGAUGGACUUGUCAAGCCCUUCUCUAUGGCAUCCAAUCGUAAUGAAGGCGUAAAAAGGAAGCGCGCUAACCUCAUGGCUCAUGAAAGCGACCCUCGGCUCACCAUCACAACAACUGUCUACUACCAGCAUGUCAUUAUCACCCCAACCAAGCACCAACAAGAUUCCCGUACCACUCCUCACCUGUACUCCUGCUUUCCUGUCUCGUCUUCUGCCUGCCAGAAUCCCGCACAUCGAAACUACUAAUCUUCAACCCUUCGAAGAUCCGACCCAC